AGACCCGAAACCCGGUGAUCUAGCCAUGGGCAGGUUGAAGGUUGGGUAACACUAACUGGAGGACCGAACCGACUAAUGUUGAAAAAUUAGCGGAUGACCUGUGGCUGGGGGUGAAAGGCCAAUCAAACCGGGAGAUAGCUGGUUCUCCCCGAAAGCUAUUUAGGUAGCGCCUCGUGAAUUCAUCUCCGGGGGUAGAGCACUGUUUCGGCUAGGGGGCCAUCCCGGCUUACCAACCCGAUGCAAACUGCGAAUACCGGAGAAUGUUAUCACGGGAGACACACGGCGGGUGCUAACGUCCGUCGUGAAGAGGGAAACAACCCAGACCGCCAGCUAAGGUCCCAAAGUCAUGGUUAAGUGGGAAACGAUGUGGGAAGGCCCAGACAGCCAGGAUGUUGGCUUAGAAGCAGCCAUCAUUUAAAGAAAGCGUAAUAGCUCACUGGUCGAGUCGGCCUGCGCGGA
rnacentral:rRNA from 6 species